UUGACCUCGGAUCAGGUAGGAAUACCCGCUGAACUUAAGCAUAUCAAUAGCGGGAAAGAAAAAG
rnacentral:rRNA from 1 species